CCAUUUUUUUUUUCUAUAAAUACUCUUUCAUACUCUCCCCAUUUCUUUGCUUCACUAUAGGGCAUAGCGCUGAAAAAGUCUCAGAGAGAGAAAGUGAGUGACAAGUGAGAGAAGGAGAAGGGAAGAGCUUGUUAGGUGUUCUUCAUUUCGGGUUCAUCAGCAUCCGGGGCAAGGCGAGUGGGGUGUGGAUAUCUUCUCGAACUCAAGUUUUUUGAUUAACUGAACAAUGGAGGAACUCAAAAACAUUUACAGUCAGAAGAGUUGAGAUAUAGUUUAUAUUGUUUAUGUUUUAUCAUCUGUCUUAUUCAUUACCAGCAGAAUCAUGAGUUUCUAACUAAGUUUGUUCUUUCUUAUUCAACAGAUCCACGCUCUUCCACGAGGUCUAGAGUUCGAACAAAUAGAAUCAGCUCUAAGCUUUGAACUCUUGAACAGGGAGAGGUCUGAGGAAGAAUCUAAUAUCUGCCAAAUCAAUUGGUGUUUUGCAUCCACGCUGAAGUGUGGCUAUCCUGGAGUAACAUUGUGAGUAAUACAGUCGAAUUUCAUGUCUGAUCCACCUAUUCUUGGAGUCAGAGAUCUGGUGUUUACAUCCACCUACAUGUAUCUGCUUUUUCUGAUAGUGUUACCUGAAGAGCAGCCAGAUCAAGGGGUGUUGCUAAACCACUUAAAGUUACACCUGUUGUCCAAUUUGCUCCUCUGUUAUUGCAAAAUAAAGGAUCUUUUUUUGUUGAAAGUGCUUGAUGACUUUAUGUAUUUUGAAAAUUAGUGGCUCUUGUCAUUUGUGCCUUGCUGCUGCUCUUCGACUUCAUCAGAAAAGCUAUACUUGCUGUAUGAUUCCCAUUUCUUUGUGCUUUGAAUUCUAAAUUGGCGCUCAAUGCAUCAUAUGCUGCUAUCUUGCCACUUUUCAGGAUGGUGAAUUAAGCAAAAUGAAUGACACUGACAAUACAAAGUCAGUUUUCUCAGUGUGGUGUUUCACAGCUUCGUUUUAGCAACGUGUGGGAUUGGCUUUAGUGAAUGUAGGAGUCAUCAUACUCAAGAAUAUCACUUCCCACUGAAAUGUCAUUCCAGGAGAUUGAGACUACUCGGAGGAGACAAUCUAUGUCAAUUGUGUAUUUGGCAAUGGAAGAUCCGUUGCAACCGAGCUCCCUUGAAGGCUUCCUUUUUCACUUGGUUAAUGAGUAAGGAAGAAACCUACAAAAGACGUGUCUUCAGCUUUAAUAGUAGGUGCAACAUUAUAAUAAAUUUCCCAAAAGGAGAAUACAUCUUUUUUCAUAUAUUAGGCAUUUUCUAGAUCAUCUGGUGAUCUUAUGCUGCUCUCAUGUUUAAACAUUUGCUGCUUUUUUUUAUAGUUAUUAUAAAAAUAAAAUACUCAAUAGAUGGAUUGUGACAGAGUCAAGAUGUUUUGUUUAA